rnacentral:rRNA from 1 species
ACUCCUACGGGAGGCAGCAGUGGGGAAUAUUGGACAAUGGGCGCAAGCCUGAUCCAGCCAUGCCGCGUGAGUGAAGAAGGCCUUAGGGUUGUAAAGCUCUUUCAGCAGGGAAGAUAAUGACGGUACCUGCAGAAGAAGCCCCGCGUACUCCGUGCCAGCAGCCGCGGUAAUACGGAGGGGCGUAGCGUUGUUCGGAAUUACUGGGCGUAAAGCGCGCGUA